GUUAGCUCAAUCGGUAGAGCGUGAGACUCUUAAUCUCAAGGUUGCGGGUUCGACCCCCGCAUUGGGCU
rnacentral:tRNA from 1 species